CCUAAGAGAGAGAGAGAGAGAGAGGUUGACAGCGAAAGGGAGGAGAAGAGGGGAGGUGUGCGUAGUCGAAGAGGAAGAGAGGAGACAUUCUAGCACCGUCGAACGACCAAGGUAGGCCGCAAUAAGGCUGGUAUGUGGUAAGUCGUAAUUGCACCCCUUUCUUUUUAUUCGACAUCGUUUUUGUAAAUGUAGAUGAAUCGGUUUUACAGGUUAGGCAAAGAAAAGUCACCGAAAUCGCUGUGAAUCACAUCAUCGAGGGAUGCUCCUCACUAUUAGGCUUUUGACCUUUUGACUGUCCGGUGUUCUAUGACAUUUCAAGACAUUUUAUUGAGCAUACUUCUGUUUGAGGUCACUCAGAUCCUUUAGUUCAGUUAGGGUUUCAUUUUUGGACCCUAAUUUAUUUUGAACACUCAAAGCAUGUGGCAUGGAUCUAGCCCAAGCGCAAUAGUUUCUUCCGUCAAGUAACUGCGGGACCAAGGUUGCACUCGAGUAUAGUGUUUUAUGUAUAUAAUGUGGGUAGUCUAGAUUUGAGGGAACCAAAAUUGCUUCGGUCAAAACCGUAGGGUAUUGAAUUGUAGUGCUCAUAUUUGAUUUGUUUUGGAUCUGAAUUGGUUUUUUUUUUUUUUUAAUUUUUUAAAAUACUUUUUUGGUUUUUAUUGGAAUAUAGAUAUUUUUAAAAUACCACUCACCUAGCCUUUAAAAAGUCGUUUGGGCCAUUGGCAGAGGGAACCCAGCUGUCUAGGCAGUUGGCACAGUUUCAGCUUCCCUCUUCCCUUGUUGUCGGCCAUUUUUAUGCAGCAAUGGUGAGGAUGUGCUAAAUGAAAAUGUGUGGUUAGGAUUGAUCCAAAAACCCCCAUUUAGAACUCUCCAAUUGAAAUUCUUCUUCUUCAUUCAACUAAAAAAAAAAACAAAAUGAAGAAAACAAAGUGGUUAGAGAGAAAUAGGAAGAAUGCAGAGUGAAGAAGACAAUCCUGUACCGAAGGGAAGGUCUGGUGCGUAUUCUCUUUUGUUCUGGUUAGAGAGAAAUAGGAAGAAUGCAGAGUGAAGAAGACAAUCCUGUACCGAAGGGAAGGUCUGGUGCGUAUUCUCUUUUGUUCUGAUUUAUGUAAGUUCCUUUUCUUUACAACUUAUUUUUCUUUUAAUCCUUUAGUAUCUAAGUAUCAAUUUGACAACUCAAACCUUGAAAUUGUAGCAAGCUGCAAUUUGAAAUUCUUUUUGCUGCUACUUUUCCACCCGUGAACUGUGUAGAUGAAAUGAUGGGCAAUUUAUCAAACAAAAAAAAAAAAAGAAGAAAGAAAUGGGGAAUGGGACGUUGACAGUAACCCAAUUGCUUCUAUCAAGCGUGCCAGGCACCAAUGCGUCACAGAGCGGUGCACACAGCUCUGCCGUGUUAAACAAAAAAAGGGUGAUUUUUAGGCACUCAAAAGUGUUGGGAAACGCCCUUGACACAAGGCUGCCAAGCAGGUGUUGUGCAGGACGGUUGAGAGGCUCGGCCAGGCAUUCACUGAAUGUCAGUAGAGCCGUGCGCGGGUGCGGACACACUGUUUCCAGGACCAUGCGCGCAGGGAUGUGCGUGGAUGUGCCCACUGCACAUUAGCCAUGCUCCUUGGGUUUGUUGCUUUAUGCAACAGGCCAGCGGGCCAUGCUGACCCAGCAGGCAUGAAAUCAUGCCGAGGGGUCUUUGCAGAAGCCCACUAGGCCACGGGCCAGCAAGAGAAAUUUCUCUUUUGUUGGACAUUUGGAUAGGUUGCGCUUUCGGGGAAAAAAAUAAUUAAGAAUAUAAAAUUUAUGAGAGGAAUAUAUAUAUAUAUAUAUGGAUGGUAAUAUUUAUUACGAUGGAUGAAUGAAAGACAACAACCAUAUUUACUUGUAAAAA